ensembl:misc_RNA Y_RNA Y RNA
GGCUGGCCCAAGUGCAGUGCUGUUUACAGCUAAUUGAUUACAACCAGUUACAGAUUUCUUCCUUCUCCAUUCCCACUACUUCCCUUGAUUAGUCUUAA